UAUCUCUGUAGAGUCUGCAUAUCAAUAAGCGGAGGAAAAGAAACUAACUAGGAUUCCCUCAGUAACGGCGAGUGAAGCGGGAAGAGCUCAAAUUUGAAAUCUUCAAGGUUCUACCUUGACGAAUUGUAGUUUAAAGAAGUGUUUUCUGUUGAAGUUUUGGUAAAAGUUCUUUGGAAAUAGGACAUCAUAGAGGGUGAGAAUCCCGUAUUUGACCAGUUAUUUUCCAGCUGUGUGAUACACUUUCAAAGAGUCGGAUUGUUUGGGAAUGCAGUCCAAAAUGGGUGGUAAAUUUCAUCUAAAGCUAAAUAUUGGCGAGAGACCGAUAGCGAACAAGUACCGUGAGGGAAAGAUGAAAAGAACUUUGAAAAGAGAGUUAAACAGUACGUGAAAUUGUCAAAAGGGAAGCGUUUGACACCAGUGUUGUUUUCUCGAAAAUCAAUUAAAAAUGAUUGAUUUUGUGUUGUAUUGACCUUUAAUCAAGCUUUCAGCACUCUUUUUCUUGUCUUUUUUAAUGCACUUUUCGUUUAACAAGUCAACAUCAAUUUCUUUUGUUGUAAAAGGGUCAUUGGAAGGUGGCUUUCUUUUCGGAGAAAGUGUUUAUAGCCUUUGGCUUCUGCAAUCGGAGAGAUUGAGGUCUGCAGCGUAGAUCCUUCGGGGUUAGAUACAUUUGUGCUAAGUUAUAGCCUUUCAUAGACAACUUGUUGACUAUGAUUUAGUCAUUGUAGCUUACUCGCUUAUGUAUUUUACCUACGCUUAGGAUGUUGAUCUCUCACAGUCGAGC
rnacentral:rRNA from 1 species